rnacentral:rRNA from 1 species
UGUCCCUACGGGGCGCAGCAGUGAGGGAUAUUGGUCAAUGGGCUUACGCCUGAACCAGCCAAGUCGCGUGAGGGAAGACUGCCCUAUGGGUUGUAAACCUCUUUUGUCAGGGAGCAAUUGGCGCUACGUGUAGCGUUAUCGAGAGUACCUGAAGAAAAAGCAUCGGCUAACUCCGUGCCAGCAGCCGCGGUAAUACGGAGGAUGCGAGCGUUAUCCGGAUUUAUUGGGUUUAAAGGGUGCGUAGGCGGGCUGUUAAGUCAGCGGUCAAAUGUCGGGGCUCAACCCCGGCCUGCCGUUGAAACUGG